AUUACAUGUUAUUCUUAACACCUGCCACUUCUCUCUUCCCACCUCUAUCUGCCUUAUUGAACUUCAUCUUUCCUUCAUUCUCUUCAACUUCCACUUCUUCUUGUAUGGUCCUGUUGAUGCCAUCUUGUUUCCGUCCCCAGACUCAUCAUCUUUACCCUCUGUCAACUGAGUUCCCACCCUGGUUCUCUCUCAAGAUCUUCCUCUCAUAGCUUUCACCCUUGGUAAACAAUGAGGACACAUCUCAAAAAGAAUGAUGUAAUUUAAUUGCCUUGAGUUGGCUGGGCCAUCAUCUAUUAUAAAGUGCUCUUAAAAUUAAAGCUAAUUUAAUUCUGAAGAACUAAGGAUUAAGAAGUUAAGAGCUGGGGUUCUUACAAUAUGGCUUGCAGACUACAAGUGUGAACUGAGGAGGUCCCCAAAGUCACUUCUUACUAAGUGAAAGCGGUGUAAAUGGCUCUUAUCUGAACCACAAUGAAUUCACAUAUUCAAGUUGGCUUCUUCGGAAAUUUCAGGCCACAAAUGGCAGUGAUGCGACCAGGAGCAGUAACACGAUUACAAGUCGCAAUUUAGGAAGGGUGCUCCAUCAUCAUUUCAUGAUUCUCACUACAGCCCAGACAGGUGGGCAGAGCAGUGUUCUUUCCCCUUUAAUGAAUGAAGAAGCUGAGCCUCAAACAGAUGAGGGGGCUUCCUGGGUUCACAGAGCUCUAAAGGGCUGAGCUGUAGAUCCACGGCCACCAUGAUGAGCUAAGAGUUUCUGGAUUCAGUGCCUGCUGUUGCUCCUGGAGAUUUGUAUCCUGAUUGAAGGCUGGUUCCAUAUCUGUUCACCCAGUCACCUUUAAAAUUAAGUCCUGGGCACAAAUCAUUAGUCUGGCAAGUUACAUCACUGUGCCACUUCCAUCCGGACAGAAGGAACCCAGGUCAAGGCUGACAGGAGGAGCAGGAGCCGUCAAUGAGAGCAGACCUCAGAAGCCAACGGAGGUGAGAAGAGCACCAUCCACAGCCCCAUCCUCUGAAUGCUGUGGGAAGAAGUCCACAAAAUACCACCCCUUGGAGUCA
rnacentral:lncRNA from 1 species